UACGGAAGGCAGCAGUGGGGAAUAUUGCACAAUGGGCGAAAGCCUGAUGCAGCAACGCCGCGUGAGGGAUGACGGCCUUCGGGUUGUAAACCUCUUUUAGUAGGGAAGAAGCGAAAGUGACGGUACCUGCAGAAAAAGCACCGGCUAACUACGUGCCAGCAGCCGCGGUAAUACGUAGGGUGCAAGCGUUGUCCGGAAUUAUUGGGCGUAAAGAGCUCGUAGGCGGUUUGUCGCGUCUGCUGUGAAAUCCCGAGGCUCAACCUCGGGCUUGCAGUGGGUACGGGCAGACUAGAGUGCGGUAGGGGAGAUUGGAAUUCCUGGUGUAGCGGUGGAAUGCGCAGAUAUCAGGAGGAACACCGAUGGCGAAGGCAGAUCUCUGGGCCGUAACUGACGCUGAGGAGCGAAAGCAUGGGGAGCGAACAGGGAUUAGGAUACCCGU
rnacentral:rRNA from 1 species